CCAAUAGCGUAUAUUAAAGUUGUUGCAGCUAAAAAGCUCGUAGUUGAAUUUCGAGAUCAAAUUGUUGGUCGUGCCUUGGUACGCACUGGCAUUAUUGGUUUCUCCCUUCUGACGAACCAUGAUGUCAUUAAUUUGGUGUCUUGGGGAAUCAGGACUGUUACUUUGAAAAAAUUAGAGUGUUUAAAGCAGGCUCACGCUUGAAUACAUUAGCAUGGAAUAAUGAAAUAGGGCGUUUGAUUCUAUUUUGUUGGUUUCUAGGAUCGACGUAAUGAUUAAUAGGGAUAGUUGGGGGCAUUAGUAUUCAAUUGUCAGAGGUGAAAUUCUUGGAUUUAUUGAAGACUAACUACUGCGAAAGCAUUUGCCAAGGAUGUUUUCAUUAAUCAAGAACGAAAGUUAGGGGAUCGAAGACGAUCAGAUACCGUCGUAGUCUUAACCAUAAACUAUGCCGACUAGGGAUCGGAUGAUGUUAAUUUUUUAAUGACUCAUUCGGCGCCUUACG
rnacentral:rRNA from 1 species